GGCGGGUGCUUACCAUGCAGUCGAACGAUGAUGCCCAGCUUGCUGGGCGGAUUAGUGGCGAACGGGUGAGUAAUACGUGAGUAACCUGCCCUUGACUCUGGGAUAAGCCUGGGAAACUGGGUCUAAUACUGGAUACUACCUCUUACCGCAUGGUGGGUGGUGGAAAGGGUUUUACUGGUUUUGGAUGGGCUCACGGCCUAUCAGCUUGUUGGUGGGGUAAUGGCUCACCAAGGCGACGACGGGUAGCCGGCCUGAGAGGGUGACCGGCCACACUGGGACUGAGACACGGCCCAGACUCCUACGGGAGGCAGCAGUGGGGAAUAUUGCACAAUGGGCGGAAGCCUGAUGCAGCGACGCCGCGUGAGGGAUGACGGCCUUCGGGUUGUAAACCUCUUUCAGUAGGGAAGAAGCGAGAGUGACGGUACCUGCAGAAGAAGCGCCGGCUAACUACGUGCCAGCAGCCGCGGUAAUACGUAGGGCGCAAGCGUUGUCCGGAAUUAUUGGGCGUAAAGAGCUCGUAGGCGGUUUGUCGCGUCUGCUGUGAAAGCCCGGGGCUCAACCCCGGGUCUGCAGUGGGUACGGGCAGACUAGAGUGCAGUAGGGGAGACUGGAAUUCCUGGUGUAGCGGUGAAAUGCGCAGAUAUCAGGAGGAACACCGAUGGCGAAGGCAGGUCUCUGGGCUGUUACUGACGCUGAGGAGCGAAAGCAUGGGGAGCGAACAGGAUUAGAUACCCUGGUAGUCCAUGCCGUAAACGUUGGGCACUAGGUGUGGGGGACAUUCCACGUUUUCCGCGCCGUAGCUAACGCAUUAAGUGCCCCGCCUGGGGAGUACGGCCGCAAGGCUAAAACUCAAAGGAAUUGACGGGGGCCCGCACAAGCGGCGGAGCAUGCGGAUUAAUUCGAUGCAACGCGAAGAACCUUACCAAGGCUUGACAUUCACCGGACCGCCCCAGAGAUGGGGUUUCCCUUCGGGGCUGGUGGACAGUGGUGCAUGGGUUGUCGUCAGCUCGUGUCGUGAGAUGUUGGGUUAAGUCCCGCAACGAG
rnacentral:rRNA from 2 species